rnacentral:rRNA from 1 species
GACGAACGCUGGCGGCGCGCCUAACACAUGCAAGUCGAACGAGCGAGAGAGAGCUUGCUUUCUCAAGCGAGUGGCGCACGGGUGAGUAACGCGUGAGGAACCUGCCUCAAAGAGGGGGACAACAGUUGGAAACGACUGCUAAUACCGCAUAAGCCCACGACCCGGCAUCGGGUAGAGGGAAAAGGAGCAAUCCGCUUUGAGAUGGCCUCGCGUCCGAUUAGCUAGUUGGUGAGGUAACGGCCCACCAAGGCGACGAUCGGUAGCCGGACUGAGAGGUUGAACGGCCACAUUGGGACUGAGACACGGCCCAGACUCCUACGGGAGGCAGCAGUGGGGAAUAUUGCACAAUGGGGGAAACCCUGAUGCAGCGACGCCGCGUGGAGGAAGAAGGUCUUCGGAUUGUAAACUCCUGUUGUUGAGGAAGAUAAUGACGGUACUCAACAAGGAAGUGACGGCUAACUACGUG